CAGCUAUCCCAGGUGUAUCCCAAGUGCAUCCCAGGUGUAUCCCAGGUGCCCAGGUGUGUCCCAGGUAUCCCAAGGGUAUCCCAGGUGUAUCCCAGGUGUGUCCCAGCUAUCCCCAGUGUAUCCCAGUUUUUCCCAGUUGUCUCCCAUGUCUCCCAGGUAUCCCAGGUGUGUCCCAGGUCUAUCCCAGGUGUGUCCCAGGUGUAUCCCAGGUGUAUCCCAGAUCUUCCCAGGUGUGUCCCAGGUCUAUCCCAGGUGUGUCACAGC